CUUGCUGCCCCAAUUGGUCCUCUGGUGGUCAUGGAGUAGCUCCAUCAGAUCAUUGGUGAGAUUGUUCUGUUUAAGGGUACUUGGAUUGAAAAUCCAUUUGCAUGUGAAAUGUGAAGGUUUUAGAGCUGGAUUGAGGGCUUUGAUUCAUGGACUUGGAUUCGAGAUGUGCGUCUCGAUGUGGGAUUAGUUUGUCAUGAUCGACAGAUAAAGGCGGGUACUUCUUGCUUUAUCUCUUUAGUAUUUUGAUCCUAGUGCAUGAGCUUUCUGUUCAGAUAGUUGCUGUAUCUAUCUUG